rnacentral:rRNA from 1 species
GACGAACGCUGGCGGCGUGCUUAACACAUGCAAGUCGAACGGAAAGGCCCUGCUUUUGUGGGGUGCUCGAGUGGCGAACGGGUGAGUAACACGUGAGUAACCUGCCCUUGACUUUGGGAUAACUUCAGGAAACUGGGGCUAAUACCGGAUAGGAGCUCCUGCUGCAUGGUGGGGGUUGGAAAGUUUCGGCGGUUGGGGAUGGACUCGCGGCUUAUCAGCUUGUUGGUGGGGUAGUGGCUUACCAAGGCUUUGGCGGGUAGCCGGCCUGAGAGGGUGACCGGGGACGAGGGGGCGGAGAGACGGGCGGGAGGGGGAGGGGAGGCAGCAGGGGGGAGUGGGGCAGAAGGGGCGGGAGGGUGAUGCAGCAGCGCCGGGGGGGGGAGGGGGGGCGGCGGGUGGGGGGACGCGGGGGCCGGGGACGAAGGGGGAGUGAGGGUAGUGGGGAAAGAGGCGCCGGCGAACUACGUG